UAUUAUUAUAGUAUUUUUGAAAUAAAAUAUAGCCUACGUAAAUCAGGAAUAAUAUAGCUUACGAUUGGUGAAAGAAUUUUCAAAAUCGGUUCAGUAUAGUUUCACAGAUUACUUCCUACAAACAGACUUACAUU